AGUGAACGCUGGCGGCAGGCCUAACACAUGCAAGUCGAACGGCAGCACAGCAGUAGCAAUACUGUGGGUGGCGAGUGGCGGACGGGUGAGGAAUACAUCGGAAUCUGCCUAGUCGUGGGGGAUAACGUAGGGAAACUUACGCUAAUACCGCAUACGACCUACGGGUGAAAGCGGGGGAUCGCAAGACCUCGCGCGAUUAGAUGAGCCGAUGUCCGAUUAGCUAGUUGGCGGGGUAAUGGCCCACCAAGGCGACGAUCGGUAGCUGGUCUGAGAGGAUGAUCAGCCACACUGGAACUGAGACACGGUCCAGACUCCUACGGGAGGCAGCAGUGGGGAAUAUUGGACAAUGGGCGCAAGCCUGAUCCAGCCAUGCCGCGUGGGUGAAGAAGGCCUUCGGGUUGUUAAGACCCUGUGGAGAGGGACGAAUAAGUAGUCGUCGAAUAGACGGC
rnacentral:rRNA from 1 species